rnacentral:tRNA from 1 species
UGGUUAUGAUAUUGGCUUGAAACCAAUUCCAGAGGGUUCGACUCCUUCCUUUCUUAU